AGAGUUUGAUCCUGGCUCAGGACGAACGCUGGCGGCGUGCCUAAUACAUGCAAGUCGAACGCUUCUUUUUCCACCGGAGCUUGCUCCACCGGAAAAAGAGGAGUGGCGAACGGGUGAGUAACACGUGGGUAACCUGCCCAUCAGAAGGGGAUAACACUUGGAAACAGGUGCUAAUACCGUAUAACAAUCGAAACCGCAUGGUUUUGAUUUGAAAGGCGCUUUCGGGUGUCGCUGAUGGAUGGACCCGCGGUGCAUUAGCUAGUUGGUGAGGUAACGGCUCACCAAGGCCACGAUGCAUAGCCGACCUGAGAGGGUGAUCGGCCACAUUGGGACUGAGACACGGCCCAAACUCCUACGGGAGGCAGCAGUAGGGAAUCUUCGGCAAUGGACGAAAGUCUGACCGAGCAACGCCGCGUGAGUGAAGAAGGUUUUCGGAUCGUAAAACUCUGUUGUUAGAGAAGAACAAGGAUGGGAGUAACUGUUCAUCCCUUGACGGUAUCUAACCAGAAAGCCACGGCUAACUACGUGCCAGCAGCCGCGGUAAUACGUAGGUGGCAAGCGUUGUCCGGAUUUAUUGGGCGUAAAGCGAGCGCAGGCGGUUUCUUAAGUCUGAUGUGAAAGCCCCUGGCUCAACCGGGGAGGGUCAUUGGAAACUGGGAGACUUGAGUGCAGAAGAGGAGAGUGGAAUUCCAUGUGUAGCGGUGAAAUGCGUAGAUAUAUGGAGGAACACCAGUGGCGAAGGCGGCUCUCUGGUCUGUAACUGACGCUGAGGCUCGAAAGCGUGGGGAGCAAACAGGAUUAGAUACCCUGGUAGUCCUACGCCGUAAACGAUGAGUGCUAAGUGUUGGAGGGUUUCCGCCCUUCAGUGCUGCAGCUCACGCAUUAAGCACUCCGCCUGGGGAGUA
rnacentral:rRNA from 1 species